UCUCUGUAUACGCCCUUGGUCUGACUGACUACACAACCAAAAAUCCACGUAUAUGAUUAGCAUCUGUGAGAGGUGCACUUAUUAUACUGAUGUGUGCACAGAACCGUAUGAAAUCUAUUUUGUAAUACAAGUGGAUCAGAUGUGUGUUAAAGAUGUGUGUGCAAUAUGUACUUCACUCGUGAUUACCAAUGUGAUGUUCUGCUAUGUAUCACAAGUGAGGAAGGAGCUGCUCUGCUACACAUCUGUGCAUGUGAGCAAAUGAGAGCUUGUGAUUUAAAUUGUUUAUUACUGUAGCUAUUAAGAAGCAGGCAUUAACGCUUGUUGACAGUGUGGAAAGGUGCAGACUCACAUGAAGGUAGAACAACUGGCCAGACAGCUAGACGUCAGUCAUCUAUAGAGUGGAAACGCGCUUGAAAGUCAUCAUUAUUUGACAACAUUCAGACGAGGGGUUAAUUGAUGAUCCACUACUUCCCUGUUACUUUGUGAUUAUACAUUUAUUUCAAUUAUUAGAUGGCUGCUUUUAUUGUGACCCCUUAUGUGACUAACUAUGAAUGGCUCGCACUUUCAAAAGUGAGUGCACUACAUGUACGUAUACAUUUAGACGUGUGUACAUGUACAUUUUACAUUUCAAACUCUACCCCUGCGUGUGUAUCUAGGUGUUUAGAGUUGCAUAGUGUGUUUCAUUUUGGAAAGCAGACAAGUAUGUAUAUGUAAGAGGUUCUUAGACCUGGUAAGGACACAACAUUAAAAAAAUGGAAGUGCACCCGCUGCAUGCUCAACCUUGUGGAAGACCUUGCUGUCUCUUCGGUCCCACUGCUGCUUUCAAUUAACACUGAAAGGUGUGAAGCCUUUAUUGAUGAGGGAGAAGAAAGUUUUUCAAAUAGACGAGCCCUAAGUGGUGAUAUUACUGCUUCGUUUUCAACAUUAGAAGCAUUGAGAUUUGUCUGUUCAAGUGGCUAUUACCAGAGUGAGAUUUUCAACAGUGCGUUGCUGGCUUGACUAAUCUCUACAACCAGCAUGGAAUGGCCUGGUGUCUCAUCACACAUCUUGGCAAGGCUAUAUCAGUCUGGAGCAGCACUGAGAAAGGCUCAACCAACAAGUUGAGAGAUAUUGCCAGAUAUUGCCUUGUCUUUCAAUGGCACCAAUCAGAAUGGUGUGAAGUCCAAGAGAAUGCGAUAUACAUUCAUCAUAGUCUUAGAUGUUUUGGUGCAAACGUAUAUGGAGCAGUUUAUGGACACAUGUACGAAUUACUUCUUGCUUGAAUGUUGUGUAUGCAGGACUCCUGUUGUUCAUUCUAAUUGCUUAAUUGACGGCAUAUAGUGGUCUGUGCCAUAAUGGAAGAAGAAUCUUCCCCCUUCCACCUCGCCAAAAUGAGAGGCUUUUGACCCUUCGGACUGAACACGUAAACACAUGUUCCUGACAUGUACAUAUGUUACACUGGACAAUUCGACCUACGGGAGCUCGAGUUGGGUUUCACCAUAUACAAUGAGCAAGACUGUCCGUUGUUAACUUAACAUUACUACGCAGCCUUUUACAAUCGAACAAGAACGAGAGCAACUUAGCAUUAUCAUAGUAAUUUUUAUAAGUUGUCCUCUAGCUAUUUUAACCAUCCUUUUCAUGCAUGCACUUGUCAAUACAUAAUUGUC